CAUUAUGUAAUGAUAAAUAACAAACACUGAUAUAGUAAAAAACACACUAUUUUACAAUAAACAGUAUACUGAGCUUAAAAAUUAAUCUGACUAUAAUGCCUGUGCAACGAACAAAUAGGGACUGAUAAUUUGUUUGCCAGUUUCUCUCUCUCAAUUAGUUAUGAUGUGAAAAUUUCAUAUGGAUGGCACGACAUUUACGGAAUUUCGGACUAGAGACACUCAACUGUAUAUCUACAUAUUUUUAACAAAAAAAAUUGAAAGAAUCAGAUCAGUAAGAUACUUUUUAUUAGGAAUAAAUAUGGCAGAUCACUUGGAUGGAGUAAAAGUGCAGUGGGAAUGUGAUACAACUGAGUUAGUUAAUCUUACUCUCUUUGGGAAGCUAGUUAUUCUUAUUCUCUUUUUCAGUUUUUCAGAGAUCUUCGUAUAAGGUAACCAUCUUCAAAAUUCUUAUUUUAGGAAAAAUUUCUUAUUUUAUAUACGGG
rnacentral:lncRNA from 1 species